UGUGACUGUGACUGCUCCGUUC
rnacentral:misc_RNA from 1 species